UACGUAGGGUGCGAGCGUUGUCCGGAAUUACUGGGCGUAAAGAGCUCGUAGGUGGUUUGUCGCGUUGUCCGUGAAAACUCACAGCUCAACUGUGGGCGUGCGGGCGAUACGGGCAGACUGGAGUACUGCAGGGGGAGACUGGAAUUCCUGGUGUAGCGGUGGAAUGCGCAGAUAUCAGGAGGAACACCGGUGGCGAAGGCGGGUCUCUGGGCAGUAACUGACGCUGGAGGAGCGAAAAGCCGUGGGGGAGCGAAACAGG
rnacentral:rRNA from 1 species